CACGUAGGGUGCGAGCGUUGUCCGGAAUUAUUGGGCGUAAAGAGCUCGUAGGCGGUGUGUCGCGUCGGCCGUGAAAACCUGCAGCUUAACUGUGGGCUUGCGGUCGAUACGGGCAUCACUGGAGUUCGGCAGGGGAGACUGGAAUUCCUGGUGUAGCGGUGAAAUGCGCAGAUAUCAGGAGGACACCGGUGGCGAAGGCGGGUCUCUGGGCCGAUACUGACGCUGAGGAGCGAAAGCGUGGGGAGCGAACAGG
rnacentral:rRNA from 1 species